CCAAUCAGCGAUGGCGGAACAAACAAACAGGGAAGUGCUCACGGUGAGCUUAGAAACAACUAAUACAUUCACAAAUUAUGCAUCCAAACAUCGCAAGGAAAACGGAUCAACGUACACGUUCAAUCUGACACAGAAUGUAACGACCCGAGCCGGACAAAUGACUUCUCAGAAGAACCACCGGCUCCAGAAACGUCAGGACGACUAUCCCAGAAAACACCGACAACAACAAUCAAAUAUAUAUAAACACACCAAACAGGUUCAAGGCAAAUGUAUAUAUCGUCAGAUUAAAUGAAAAUCCAAAGAUGUCGUAGGCACGAAAGAUAAGGAAAACUACAUACACGGCCGUGUCUGUGAUUUUGAUCCUUCAUCUGCAGACAGCACCUGCCAGGUGAUCACCGAGACCGGCCCAGACACAACCACCACUGCCCCCUCUCUGCCCCCCCUCCAAGCAGUGAGAUACUGAAGUGUAUCCUCUACCAGAGACAACAGCUACCCAUGACCAGCUGGUGUACUCUCAGAACAGACAGCAAGCUGCCAUGCAGAAUGAGGUGGUGGUGGGUUGGAGGCCCGGUCAGUCCACCACAGGAGGCCUGGACUGGAGGUGGUGCCAGCGUACCUUCCAAGACCUUGAGGAGGUUUCUCCAACAACUGGAGGUGCUCUUCUCCCUCUCCCUGGUCCCCCGCGUGCUCCUCCUCCUCGGUGGCUCCCUCCUCCCCAAGGAGCUGUACGAGGUCAACAUGGAGGAGGUGAUACUAUCCGCCGGUGACCGCAGCCUCCGCAUCUCCUUCUGCCUUAGGCAUCUCUUCCAAACUGUUGUCUGACGCUGAACCUGUCCAGCUCACGGCCACGACGGUCAUGGUUCUGGCCCACAGGGACUGUGGCGUGGGGUGGUUCCGGGCCAAACUGGAUUUUACGGUCCCCACGCGGGUGAAGAGACAAGUUAUUGCUCUGUCUUGUGACACUAGUAGUGUGUUUGGGCCCUUUCAGGGAGGAGGGCAGACUGACUGGCAGGACUAUGUGUGAUUUCAGGCCCCCAUUGUUAUCAAAGUCUUCAGCAAGGGACAAGGAAAGGAGCCACAGCCAUAGUAUGAGAUGAGACAGGAACCUGUGAUCACAAAGCGUUUCUCUGAGUAGGAGUGCUGAUCUAGGGUAAAGCUGGGAUGAUGAACUGAAAAUCACUGACACCAAUCACUUAUCGGAGGCAUUUUGCUGAUAUCGUUCAUUACGAUAAGUAGCCUACACUAGAGAGAUGUGAUGUUUGAAAUGAAUACGUUUCCUAAUAUGGGACAAUUGAUGACUACAACCAUCAAACUAGUAUUUUAAAGGAUCAUUUAAAACUGUGGUGUACAUGGUUAUAAAUGUAUUGUUCUAUUUAUCCAGAUGUUUGUCCAUAUGGCCCAGCACUGAUCUAGGAUCAGGUCCCCGUCUAUAUAAACCUGGUCAUACUGAUCUAAAAGGCCAAACUUGAGUGCUGAUUUCAGGUCAGUUUGACCUUUUUAGGUCACAAUGACUAACAUUAUAUGGACAGACGGUACCCGAUUCUAGAUCAGCACUCGGAUGAUUUGUGACUACAGACCAAGAGGUGUUGACCGAGCGGAUUGACAUGUGUGCACCAUACCGGUCUCUCUCAGGGACCACUGUCUCCCUGUAACCCUGAGCCCAGUACAGGGACUAGGUUCUUAAAGGUUCAUAGGAAUGACUGGCGUCAUCUGUACAGAAUGAUUUUUAAUGAAUGAUAUGUUGUCUUCUUAGGUAUUGACGUUUCGCUUGGGUAUGUUGUAAUGAAAGCAGUGUUGGUGCUGUGACUGUAUAGAGCUAAAUGACUUUGUGCACUGUAUGCCUACUUGUCAUCCGGUUGAGACUCAACACAGGCUGUACCUGUAAAAUGUCAUGUCUUGGUUUUCAAUUGCUUAAAUGUACGAAACAAUCUUUGGGAAAUAUACAGCACUGUAUGUCAGUCUAAGCUGGAUCACUAAAGUAUUUAAGGUUUAUUUGAAUUAUACACAUUUUGCAGCUAAAAGCAGAAUUAAUUGCAGCACACAUAGGCCUAAGUCUUGUGUUCAACAUCUUGUGAAUUAUUGACUUGUGGAUGUUAAAUUUGUUUAAUUUCGAUCCUCAUAAAGCUGACACCUUAGUGACGGCUAGUCUUCCUGGGGUCCACAGAAAAUGCAUCAUGGUUUUCUGGACAUGUUUUUAGUCUAAGACGUAGCCUAAUCUCAUGCUCAAUGUUUAGUUCAGGACUAGGCUUAAGCUGUAUCCAGGUCACUCCUGGAAACCAGCCCCACAAAUAUUAGACACUACAGCAUGUGUCAAACUCAUUCCACGGAGGGCCCAGUGUCUGCGGGUUUUCACUCCUCCCUUGUACUUGAUUGAUGAAUU